UUGUAUUCUAUCAUAUUCUAACCCCAAUCAACACUAGAUAAGUCAUUUAGUGGUUCAACGCAAUGAUUCCGAUUUCUUAGCCCAUUUGGGACCCAAUUUCAACAAGUCUUUCUCCACACUUCUAAACACUCUUCAUGCAUCUCUAGAACUUCCAGUCAAUCAAAUUUAUCGUAUUCUAUCAUAUUCUAAACCCAAACAACACUAGAUAAGUCAUUUAGUGGUUCAACGCAAUGUUUCCGAGUUCUUAGCCCAUUUGGGACCCAAUUUCAACGUGUUUCUCCACACUUCUAAAAACUCUUCAUGCAUCUCUAGCUCUUUUAAUCAAUCAAAUUUAUUGUAUUCUAUCAUAUUCUAACCCCAAACAACACUAGAUAAGUCAUUUCGUGGUUCAACGCAAUGUUUCCGAGUUCUUAGCCCAUUUGGGACCCAGUUUCAACAAGUCUUUCUCCACACUUCUAAACACUCUUCAUGCAUCUCUAGCACUUGUAAUCAAUCAAAUUUAUUGUAUUCUAUCAUAUUCUAACCCUAAAUAACACUAGAUAAGUCAUUUAGUACUGCAACGCAAUGUGUCCGAGUUCUUAGCCUAAUUUGGACCCAAUUUCAACAAGUCUUUCUCCACACUUUUAAACACUCAGCACGCAUCUCUAGAUCUUGUAACCAAUCAAAUUUAUUGUAUUCUAACAUAUUCUAUCCCCAAAAAACACUAGAUAAGUCAUUUAGUCGUUCAACGCAAUGUUUC
rnacentral:lncRNA from 1 species